CCUACGGGAGGCAGCAGUGGGGGAUAUUGCACAAUGGGGGAAACCCUGAUGCAGCGACGCCGCGUGGGUGAAGAAGCGCCUCGGCGCGUAAAGCCCUGUCAGCAGGGAAGAAAAUGACGGUACCUGAAGAAGAAGCCCCGGCUAACUACGUGCCAGCAGCCGCGGUAAUACGUAGGGGGCAAGCGUUAUCCGGAUUUACUGGGUGUAAAGGGGGCGCAGACGGCGAUGCAAGCCAGGAGUGAAAGCCCGGGGCCCAACCCCGGGACUGCUCUUGGAACUGCGUGGCUAGAGUGCAGGAGGGGCAGGGGGAAUUCCGGGGGUAGCGGUGAAAUGCGUAGAUAUCAGGAGGAACACCGGUGGCGAAGGCGGCCUGCUGGACUGCAACGGACGUUGAGGCCCGAAAGCGUGGGGAGCAAACAGGAUUAGAUACCCUUGUAGUC
rnacentral:rRNA from 1 species